UACGGAGGGUGCAAGCGUUGCUCGGAAUUACUGGGCGUAAAGCGUACGCAGGCUGUCCGUUAAGUCGGGUGUGAAAGCCCGGGGCUCAACCCCGGAAUUGCGCCCGAAACUGACGGGCUUGAGUGCGGGAGAGGGAAGCGGAAUUCCUGGUGUAGAGGUGAAAUUCGUAGAUAUCAGGAGGAACACCGGUGGCGAAAGCGGCUUCCUGGCCCGACACUGACGCUCAUGUACGAAAGCGUGGGGAGCAAACAGG
rnacentral:rRNA from 2 species